UUUGCAGCUUUCCUUGAAGCUCGGUAUGACCAUAAGACUAAAUUCUGGGUAAAUGAAGGUACCAUAUGUGGUUUCUAGAAGGGCUUCUUGAAGGCGUUGACUCACUGGGAGCUGCUGCCUUUUCCUCCCUUCUACCGCCUGGAACGUGGACGGGAGGGCUGAAACUCCAAUGGCAAUCUUGGGUUAUGAGAGAAAGUGGGACACUCUAAUUGUUUGGGCUGAGGAAAGGAUACAAGAAAGUGCCAGGGGAGAAGACAUUCAAAAGAACACUGACUGAGCAAGUCAAUGGGAUACAAACCCAGACCUGGCUGACCCUGGAGCCCUGAGCUUUCUUCCCAAUCCUCCUCAUAGAGAAACACAGCUAAUAGUUUGAAUUUUUCUUACCAACUUCUUUUCUUUUUUUAAACGA